ensembl:misc_RNA 7SK 7SK RNA
GGAGGGUAGGAGGGUGACUGUCCACCCGAGUGGUUGACCAGUUUGAUUUGACUCACCCGACUGGCUCAGUGGAUGUCCCCUUCCUCAGUCACCACUCCCUGUGCAUCCCUCCUGAAACUGUGUGCUUGGGAGAAUGUACUCCCCCCAAAGAUAAUGGGGAUAGAGGAGUACCAUUCCUGAGUUAAAGGCCCAUGAGUAGCCAUGUUCCCCUGCCGCUGAUAGAAUGCCAAAGGAGCUUUCCCGGUCCAUUUGUCGGAGCAUGUAAGUGGGGCUUCUCAGACUCCAGAUGCAUUUAAAUGAGAUGCUGCAUGUGGCAAGCUGCCUUCCCU